rnacentral:rRNA from 1 species
UACGUAGGGUGCAAGCGUUCUCCGGAUUUACUGGGUGUAAAGGGCGAGUAGACGGCAUAGCAAGUCAGAUGUGAAAUUUCAGUGCUCAACAUUGAAACUGCAUCUGAAACUGUUAAGCUAGAGUGCAGGAGAGGAAAACGGAAUUCCUAGUGUAGCGGUGAAAUGCGUAGAUAUUAGGAGGAACACCAGUGGCGAAGGCGGUUUUCUGGACUGUAACUGACGUUGAGGAGCGAAAGUGUGGGGAG